AUGGGAUUUGUCCCUGGCUUUAGCUGACCUCCCUUUGCCCUGGGUCCUGGAGGGCACUCAUGUCUAUCUCUGCUCACUGACCUGGGGUUGUUCUAAAUCCUGGAAUUACCCUCUGCUUUCUCCUGGCAGGCCACGGUGGAGCGUGGGCGGUCCCUGAUAUGUUCUGUCUACUUGGAUCACUGCCUUGGGCCAAAUGGAAAGUGCUCGUGAGAGCUGCUGGGCCAAGACCUCGCCGCUCCGCGGGCUGCAGCCCCAUCUGCCCUCCUUGGUGACAGCUGGGGGCAGAUCUGAGAAAGGACUCACCGCUUCGCCUCCACUCCCCGGGCUCGGGAUGUCCAGGACUCCGUGGGAGAAGGAGGCGGCGUCCUGCAGCACAUCACGUCUCGGUGCAGCUCUGCGGUGCCCCUACAGUGCCCAGCUCUAGCGGCGUGACCUUGGCUUGGCCAUGCCUCAGUUUCCUUGUGAGUCACACGGAGAUAAUGCAAGCUGAAUAUUGUGUCUACGGGGCUGUUACGAGACACGCAAAGCACGGACGAUGCCGCCCGGUGCUUCUGGAGGGCUCAGCAAAGGUUGGACACCUCUAGAAAAUGACCUCCAAAAACACAACUUUUAAUGACCGUGUAGCCUUCUAAUGUGUAGGUAGAUUAUAAUUUGUUGAGCCAGCCCCUUGUUGUUGGGCGUGUAGGCUGCUUCCACUCUUCCGCUUUUAUAAAUAAUGCUGCAGUGAACAUCUCGUACAUCAAUCUUUCUGUUUAUCUCUGAUUGCUUCCUUAGAAGGACUCCCCAAAUCGUGCUCGUCUUAGAACAAAGCCCCGUCCCCUAGGCUUUUCAAUGAUGCCCCUGGAAAUAAAAGCAGAGCCCAUUUUCCACCAGGGCAAGAAACAUAUGGAACGUGUUAACCAAGAGGUGGUUCAGGAGGAAAGUAGAAAUAGGUUCAAGAUGGGUUUGGAUCCCCUUCAGGAUGUCUGACACGGAAUCAGUCAUACAGCUCCCCUCGAGCCACCUCCCCGGAGAGAGGGAGGCAGAGGCUGAUUCUCAGGGGCCACUGACUUCUCUCUUUGAGGGAAUUCCAAAGGGCUUUGAAGUUCUUGGUGUUGGAGAAGCACCGAUGACAGAUCAAUCAAGGAAGCCAGUGUGUGUGGACGACUCCUCCAGCCAGGAGGGGGCAAUGUCGCCUGCCUCUGCCAUCCAGAAUCGCUUUGGGUUGCCAUUUAUUCAUCCAUUCAUUUGGGAGAAAUCUAUUGCGUGCUUCCCCCCAGGCCAGACGUCAAGACUGUUUUCAGACUUUCAAAGACCUAGACACCCUUGCUCUGGAAGCUCCAACUCACACAGAUCAAGCAUAUUGCAAUUCACCCAGAUUCCAUAUUAAGUGUAUUUUUUUUUCCUGUAAAGAAAAAUAAAGAUUAUUUUUAUAACUUUGCUUUUGGAAUUAUUUGGCGACGAGCAAUUCAUUCGAUCUAUGCCUGGCUUUGAUUUGUCAGCAGUUAAUGGCGGUACUCAAAGAAUUCUUGCAAAGUGAGAAAAUCUAACCUGCACAUCGUUUUCAGAUAUAAUGAAAUUUUUAUGAAUUUUUAUGAAUGCUAAAUGAAACCAUUAAUGGCGGUUGAUGUAAUAUUUUGUUUUGGAGACGUUUCAUUAAAAUUUUAUUAAUUUCUAUUGCAAAGUUUUUCCUUCGAGUUUCGGCUCCAAUAAUUUUGUUUUCAGGUCUCAAACUCUCUUAGGGAUCUCUGAAAAGUUCCCAGUGCCCAGUGGCUAGCAGAGCCCUAUCAGGCUUGGAUAUGGAGAAAUGAAAGAGUCGGUACAGUUUUUACAGAGUUCCCAGGCCAUCGAGUGACAAAUGGGCAAACUACUCUCACAAGAGUAAGUUUUGCUAUAAUGGAGUGUGAUCAGGGCCCGGUGAAAGCAUCAUCUGCUCUAAGCUGGAGCCAGAGGGGGUCAAGGAAGACUUCUAGAGAGCAGGUGUGCCCAAGCCAGAAUGUGAACGGUGAAUAGUUUUCUUUUUCUUUUUCUUUUUUUUUUUUUUAAAGAUUUUAUUUAUUUAUUUGAGAGAGAGAGAGCAGAAUGAGAGAGAGAGAGCGUGAGUGUGAGUGGGCAUGAGGGGCAGAGGGAGAGGGAGAAGCAGACUCUCUACUGAGCAGGGAGCCCGAUGUGGGGCUCAAUCUCAGGACCCUGGGAACAAAACUGGAGCCAAAGGCAGACGCCCAACCAGCUGAGCUGCCCAGGUGCUCCUGGUGAAUAGUUUUCUAAGCAGGACCCAGAAGGGAAGGAUGGUGCAGGCAGAGGACACAGCACAUGCAGGUGGACUUGGCCACCAAGUCCAAAAGAUGGCAAAAGAUCCUACGUAUGGACAAGCAGGCCGGCCACUCAGUUUUGCCCACACUGAUCACUAGGGCCUUGUUCUUCAGACCAGCAGCUCUGCUAUUAUCCAGGAGUUUGGGAGAAACGCAAUUUCAGGUCCCCCGGACCUCCUCCAUGUUGACAGGAUCCCUGGCGAUUCGAAUGAACCCCAUGAAUGAAGAUCUGAGAGGCAGGCUCUAGUUCCAGCUGGAUCUAAGCCAGGCCUCCUCGGGGCCUGGGGCCUGGGGCCUGGGGAGCUGGGGAGGGUGACUGGUGGUCGGCCUGCAAAGCUGCAGCCCCAGACAGAGCAGCCGUUGUUCCAAAAGUUGUUUUCAAGUUUGGCCUGCAAGUCCAUCUCUGGGGACCCAGACGGUUCAACCAUUGCUGGAGGGUUGGGCUUUUCUGUUUAGAGACUCCUCCCACACUGUCCCUUCUGCUGGCCCUCGCUCCAGACGGCCUGUCUUGCCCGUUGGCUCCCUGAGCCGGCGCAUCACCGAUUACCUAAUAGACUGUAGGCUGUGUGCGUAAUUUAUUUCUGUGAGUAAUUGAUCUUGUUAGGAUGAGCAGGGGAAGUACCAGGAAAGAAAGGGAGAAGAAGCAUCGAUAACCAGGGGAAGGAAGCCUGUCAUAGUCAGCUAAUUACGUGGCUCUCCGAGGCAGGUCUUUCAACACGAUGGCCCCUCUUGCUGCUGUUGGCCCACCGCCCCCUCCCCUGCCCCCAUGAGCCAACGGGCUUUCUGAUGAGUGUGGAAGGGGCUGUAGACUGAGCCAGGACACUUAGCUCUUAGGCCAGGCGAUCUUAGGCAGGUCACUUCUCUCUGGGCUUCAGUUUUAUGGACUGUAAAAUGGGAAGGCUGAACCAGUGGUUUCCAAACAUGGUUGAUAGCAGAAUCACCAGAGAUACUAUAGAAAACAUAAACUCCAAAGCCACUGAUACCCUAGGAUACGGAGUGAGGCCAGGAGCCCGUGCUAUACCGAGCAGCUCUCGUGACUCCAGUGCAGUCGGUCUGAGAAAUCAGGAGACCGCUGGGUUGGAAAGAUAAUCUUAAAUGCCCCCACUCUGACAUUUUCGGGUCGUCGAUACGGAUGGACUUCCCUGCGACCUCUUCGGAGCAUCAGGACAGUCCUGCAGAAAAGAGACUAGAAAGGCAGGCGACCCAUCAUCUCCUGGUUCUGUCGCCAAUUCUCUAGGUAGUAACAGUCCCCC
rnacentral:lncRNA from 1 species